rnacentral:rRNA from 2 species
ACAGGGAUUGCCCUAGUAACGGCGAGUGAAGCGGCAAUAGCUCAAAUUUGAAAUCUGGCUCUUUUAGGGUCCGAGUUGUAAUUUGCAGAGGGCGCUUUGGCGUUGGCAGCGGUCCAAGUUCUUUGGAACAGGACGUCACAGAGGGUGAGAAUCCCGUACGUGGUCGCUAUCCUUCGCCGUGUAAAGCCCCUUCGACGAGUCGAGUUGUUUGGGAAUGCAGCUCUAAAUGGGAGGUAAAUUUCUUCUAAAGCUAAAUACUGGCCAGAGACCGAUAGCGCACAAGUAGAGUGAUCGAAAGAUGAAAAGCACUUUGGAAAGAGAGUCAAAUAGCACGUGAAAUUGUUGAAAGGGAAGCGCUUGCAGCCAGACUUGCCUGUAGUUGCUUAUCCGGACUUUUGUCCGGUGCACUCUUCUGCGGGCAGGCCAGCAUCAGUUUGGGCAGUUGGAUAAAGGUCUCUGUCAUGUACCUCUCUUCGGGGAGGCCUUAUAGGGGAGACGACAUGCAACUAGCCUGGACUGAGGUCCGCGCAUCUGCUAGGAUGCUGGCGUAAUGGCUGUAAGCGGCCCGUCUUGAAACACGGACCAAGGAGUCUAACAUCUAUGCGAGUGUUUGGGUGUCAAGCCCAGACGCGUAAUGAAAGUGAACGGAGGUGGGAACCCUUUGGGUGCACCAUCGACCGAUCCUGAUGUCUUCGGAAGGAUUUGAGUAAGAGCAUGGCUGUUGGGACCCGAAAGAUGGUGAACUAUGCUUGAAUAGGGUGAAGCCAGAGGAAACUCUGGUGGAGGCUCGCAGCGGUUCUGACGUGCAAAUCGAUCGUCAAAUUUGGGCAUAGGGGCGAAAGACUAAUCGAAC